GAUGAACGCUGGCGGCGUGCCUAAUACAUGCAAGUCGAGCGAACAGACGAGGAGCUUGCUCCUCUGACGUUAGCGGCGGACGGGUGAGUAACACGUGGAUAACCUACCUAUAAGACUGGGAUAACUUCGGGAAACCGGAGCUAAUACCGGAUAAUAUAUUGAACCGCAUGGUUCAAUAGUGAAAGACGGUUUUGCUGUCACUUAUAGAUGGAUCCGCGCCGCAUUAGCUAGUUGGUAAGGUAACGGCUUACCAAGGCAACGAUGCGUAGCCGACCUGAGAGGGUGAUCGGCCGCACUGGAACUGAGACACGGUCCAGACUCCUACGGGAGGCAGCAGUAGGGAAUCUUCCGCGAUGGGCGAAAGCUUGACGGAGCAACGCCGCGUGAGUGAUGAAGGUCUUCGGAUCGUAAAACUCUGUUAUUAGGGAAGAACAAAUGUGUAAGUAACUAUGCACGUCUUGACGGUACCUAAUCAGAAAGCCACGGCUAACUACGUG
rnacentral:rRNA from 1 species